CCCCCCCCCCCCCCACACACACACACACACACAAACAAAGAGGCGUUAGGCUGAGACGCUGAAAGUCCGGAUUUAAAGUGCAGAAAAUUAAGCCAUUGAAUCUGCCUGUCCAUGACGUAGUAAGACACACUAUGAGCCAGUAUGAUCCGACCAGACCUUACAUCAGCAUUGAGGAGUUGUCGGAGAAGAAAGAGGCUGAUUGAAGCGGGACAGAUGACAUGGAUCCAUCCUUCCACAGCCAGGAGCGCACCGACCUGUGUCCCACACUUCAUAUAAGACUGGAAGCUACACUGAUCUCACAGCUACACACCACAGACGUCUACACACUGGAGAAGAUUCAGACAGAGUCCCACAAAGAAGUCAUGACCCAGAGGCUGCAGAGAAACAUUUCAAGCCUCACCUGAGAUUUUGUACAAUAUUUUUGCUGUAUGUAAAUAAAGCUUUCACUCCACAUA